UACGUAGGGUGCAAGCGUUAUUCGGAAUUACUGGGCGUAAAGCGUGCGCAGGCGGUUAUGUAAGUCAGAUGUGAAAUCCCCGGGCUCAACCUGGGAACUGCAUUUGUGACUGCAUCGCUGGAGUGCGGCAGAGGGGGAUGGAAUUCCGCGUGUAGCAGUGAAAUGCGUAGAUAUGCGGAGGAACACCGAUGGCGAAGGCAAUCCCCUGGGCCUGCACUGACGCUCAUGCACGAAAGCGUGGGGAGCAAACAGG
rnacentral:rRNA from 1 species